GAAUUCAGACAAACUCCGAAUGCCAAUUAAUUUAACUUGGGAGUCAGAACAUGGGUGAUAAGGUCCGUGUUCGAAAGGGAAACAGCCCAGACCACCAGCUAAGGUCCCAAAAUAUAUGUUAAGUGGAAAAGGAUGUGGCGUUGCCCAGACAACUAGGAUGUUGGCUUAGAAGCAGCCAUCAUUUAAAGAGUGCGUAAUAGCUCACUAGUCGAGUGACACUGCGCCGAAAAUGUACCGGGGCUAAACAUAUUACCGAAGCUGUGGAUUGUCCUUUGGACAAUGGUAGGAGAGCGUU
rnacentral:rRNA from 1 species